rnacentral:rRNA from 1 species
UGAGGAAUAUUGGUCAAUGGGCGAGAGCCUGAACCAGCCAAGUCGCGUGAAGGAUGAAGGUUCUAUGGAUUGUAAACUUCUUUUAUUCGAGGGUAAAGUGAGGUACGUGUACCUUAUUGCAAGUAUCGAAUGAAUAAGCAUCGGCUAACUCCGUGCCAGCAGCCGCGGUAAUACGGAGGACGCGAGCGUUAUCCGAAUUUAUUGGGUUUAAAGGGUGCGUAGGCGGAUUAUUAAAGUCAGCGGUGAAAGCGUGUGGCUCAACCAUACAAUUGCCGUUGAUACUGGUAGUCUUGAGUGUAAACGAGGUAGGCGGAAUGUGAUGUGUAGCGGUGAAAUGCUUAGAUAUGUCACAGAACC